rnacentral:misc_RNA from 1 species
AAGUCGUAACAAGGUUUCCGUAGGUGAACCUGCGGAAGGAUCAUUAACGAAGUUUCAAUGGCUUGUGCUGGCGCACUCAUGUGUGCAUGUGCACGGUCGUUUUCCUUCUAUCAACCCAUGUGCACUUUAAUUAAGGAUCGGAGGGAAGCGCGUCCGGAGGAUUAGCGUAGUACUUGUGGGUCCGUCCUGCUGGGAAAGGUUGAUCUGUUGAUGGGCGCGUGGUACUUCCGUUCCCGAUUUACAAACCACUAUUGUAGUCUUGUCAGAACGUUCAGUCCUAUGGGACGCUAAAUAUAAUACAACUUUCAACAACGGAUCUCUUGGCUCUC